rnacentral:rRNA from 1 species
UACGGAGGAUCCAAGCGUUAUCCGGAUUUAUUGGGUUUAAAGGGUGCGUAGGCGGCAUUGUAAGUCAGUGGUGAAAGCCCUUCGCUUAACGAAGGAACUGCCAUUGAUACUGCAAAUCUUGAGUACAUUUGAUGAGGGCGGAAUGUGUCAUGUAGCGGUGAAAUGCUUAGAUAUGACACAGAACACCGAUUGCGAAGGCAGCUCUCAAAACUGUAACUGACGCUGAGGCACGAAAGCGUGGGUAGCAAACAGG